AGAGUUUGAUCAUGGCUCAGGACGAACGCUUGCGGCGUGCCUAAGAAAUGCAAGUCGAGCGGACAGUCGCAAGACUGUUAGCGGCGAACGGUCGCGUAACACGUAGGCAACCUGCCCCAAAGACCGGGACAACAGGGGGAAACUCUUGCUAAUACCGGAUGUGGCCACUCCCUCGCCUGGGGGAGUGAUUAAAUCCAAGUAAUUGGGCUUUGGGAGGGGCCUGCGGCCUAUCAGCUAGUAGGUGAGGUAACGGCUCACCUAGGCGACGACGGGUAGCUGGUCUGAGAGGAUGGUCAGCCGGACUGGGACUGAGACACGGCCCAGACUCCUACGGGGGGCAGCAAUUAGGAAUCUUGUGCAAUGGGCGAAAGCCUGACACAGCGACGCCGCGUGAGGGAGGACGGCCUUCGGGUUGUAAACCUCUUUUAACGAGGAAGAAACAAAUGACGGUACUCGUUGAAUAAGCCCCGGCUAACUCCGUGCCAGCAGCCGCGGUA
rnacentral:rRNA from 1 species